rnacentral:rRNA from 1 species
UACAGAGGGGGCAAGCGUUGUUCGGAUUUACUGGGCGUAAAGGGCGCGUAGGCGGUCGUGACAAGUCACUUGUGAAAUCUCCGGGCUUAACUCGGAACGGUCAAGUGAUACUGUCGGACUAGAGUACAGAAGGGGCAACUGGAAUUCUCGGUGUAGCGGUGAAAUGCGUAGAUAUCGAGAGGAACACCUGCGGCGAAGGCGGGUUGCUGGGCUGAUACUGACGCUGAGGCGCGGAAAGCCCAGGGGAGCGAACGGG